UACGGGGGGGGCAAGCGUUGUUCGGAAUUACUGGGCGUAAAGGGCUCGUAGGCGGCCAACUAAGUCAGACGUGAAAUCCCUCGGCUUAACCGGGGAACUGCGUCUGAUACUGGAUGGCUUGAAUCCGGGGAGAGGGAUGCGGAAUUCCAGGUGUAGCGGUGAAAUGCGUAGAUAUCUGGAGGAACACCGGUGGCGAAGGCGGCAUCCUGGACCGGCAUUGACGCUGAGGCGCGAAAGCGUGGGUAGCAAACAGG
rnacentral:rRNA from 1 species